CGUCCUUCCCCCACCCCUCUCGCCCCUAUAACUCGCUCCCUCCGUCCCUCUCGGACUCGGACUCGGGGCCGGUGCGCGACUGAGCUGGCGCCUCUAGCCGACUUUGCCAAGAGGGCGCCUCCUGCCCGAUCCGCGCUGACCCUGCGCGGGACGCAGCCCCAGGCGGCUGCCUAGCCGAGGCGGGAGCCCGAGCUGAGUCGAGCUCGCCGGAGCGGGGUCUUGCUUCGAUGUUGAUGGCUGCUGACUGAUCAGUUUGGUGGUUGCUGGUGGCUGGAGUGGCUGUGGCAAUUUCUUAAGACAACGCUGUGCUGGAUGCCCUGGAGGAACAAGGAGGCCUCCAGUCCCUCUUCUGCUAAUCCCCCCUUGGAAGCCCUCCAGAGCCCCAGCUUCAGAGGCAACAUGGCGGACAAGCUGAAGGACCCCAGCACCCUGGGCUUCCUGGAGGCGGCCGUGAAGAUCAGCCACACGUCCCCAGAUAUCCCAGCUGAGGUGCAGAUGUCGGUCAAGGAGCACAUCAUGCGUCACACACGGCUGCAGCGGCAAACUACAGAGCCAGCGUCAUCCACCAGGCACACGUCCUUCAAGCGCCACCUGCCAAGGCAGAUGCAUGUCUCCAGUGUAGACUAUGGCAAUGAGCUUCCACCAGCAGCAGAGCAGCCCACCAGCAUUGGCCGCAUCAAGCCUGAGCUCUACAAGCAGAAGUCAGUGGAUGGGGAGGAUGCCAAGUCUGAGGCCACCAAGAGCUGCGGGAAGAUCAACUUCAGCCUACGCUAUGAUUACGAGACCGAGACCCUGAUUGUGCGUAUCCUGAAGGCUUUUGACCUCCCUGCCAAGGACUUUUGUGGAAGCUCUGACCCUUAUGUCAAGAUCUACCUCCUGCCUGACCGCAAAUGCAAGCUGCAGACCCGGGUGCACCGCAAGACCCUGAACCCCACCUUUGAUGAGAACUUCCACUUCCCUGUGCCCUAUGAGCAGCUGGCUGACCGCAAGCUGCAUCUCAGUGUCUUCGACUUUGACCGCUUCUCCCGCCAUGACAUGAUUGGCGAGGUCAUCCUGGACAACCUCUUUGAGGCCUCUGACCUGUCUCGGGAAACCUCCAUCUGGAAGGAUAUCCAAUAUGCCACAAGUGAAAGCGUGGACUUGGGAGAGAUCAUGUUCUCCCUUUGCUACCUGCCCACAGCAGGCAGGCUCACCCUCACAGUGAUUAAGUGUCGGAACCUCAAGGCGAUGGACAUCACAGGCUAUUCAGAUCCCUAUGUGAAAGUGUCCUUGCUCUGUGAUGGGCGGAGGCUGAAGAAGAAGAAAACAACCAUAAAGAAAAACACUCUCAAUCCUGUCUACAAUGAGGCCAUCAUCUUUGACAUUCCCCCAGAAAACAUGGAUCAAGUCAGCCUGCUCAUCUCAGUCAUGGACUAUGAUCGAGUGGGCCACAAUGAGAUCAUAGGAGUCUGUCGUGUGGGGAUCACUGCUGAAGGCCUGGGCAGGGACCACUGGAACGAGAUGCUGGCAUACCCCCGGAAGCCCAUCGCACACUGGCACUCCUUGGUGGAGGUAAAGAAAUCCUUCAAAGAGGGAAACCCUCGGUUGUGAUUUCAUUCACGUGGAUGCUGCAAGCAGAGAGACUGCCACCUGGAGUUAGGAUGGCAGGGCCGAGCUGCUAGCUUCGACAGUGAGAGCUCGUGCCCAUCUCCGAAACCACCUCCGACACCAUGAGAUGUGCAGCCAAGUAACACAAAUGGGACUCAGCAAUGUUCUCUUUGCACUUGUUCAACCGUCUAAACAGUGUUGUGCAGUCGCAGCGGUGGCAGCAGCGGCAGCCGUCCGUCACUCCAGAGUCUUACCUGCUCCUGUGUAGGUCAAGGCUGAGACACUUGUCAUGUGGUCAGAUCUGUCUUAGUCUUUUGUGUCUCCCAAGGUGAUGUUUUUGUGGUUUUUCACUUUUUAUGGGUCUGCUGGUAAGAAAAGGGAAAAAAAAAAAGAGUAGGAAAAGACAAAGGGUGGAAAGCCCAGAAGUUGGUUCUAGAAAAUACAAGGUACAGUUUUUUGGAAAGAGGUGGAUUGAGUUUCUGAAAUGCUGUGUCUCCAGCAAGCUCCACAACCCUGGAAAAGGAGGAGGCGUGGUGGGACUGCGGCUGCAUUUUCAGUGCCCUGCAGGAAUGGGGUGAAUCCAUGGAAGAGCCUUUGUGAGGUGAAUUACUAGUCUUUGAAGCUCUUCGCUGGCAGGACAUAAACCACGCUGGGACCCUCAGUCCCGUGUUGAAAUCCCAAGACCUCUGAGGCGCUUGUGAGCCUUCAGCUGAUGUGCAGGGUUCCUCGCUCCCCUUCCUCGCUGGCUUUCCCCAUGAAUUGAAAACGUCUUGAUUCCUCAUGGGAACUUAGUCACUUUCUUUAGGAAUGAUUCAGCCGAAACUAAACACGCCAUAUGUUUUCUGAUGCGCCACAGUUAAUGAUCACAUUUGUUUGAAAACAGGAUCUUUGUCCUCAGAAAUAAUCUUGAUUGUAAAGUAAGAGAGAAACAUAUGUUCUGGAAUGAUUUCUGCAUUAUACAUAGCUUUAUAAUUCCAUGAAGUAUCAAGCUGCUGUUUAAAAUGCCUAAACAGAUUAAAGAAAAACCUAGAUUAAAUGUUCUUUUCCAAAUGGGGAGUUUUGAAAUCCAAAUAGCAGUUUGAGUCCAUCUUUCUAUGAAGAGUAUGUUUUUGAUUGAAACCGAGUCAGCGUAAGCCUAUUUCAGCCCCUUUGGCUCUUUGACAAUAUUCAUCUUAAACUUUAGUUCUAUAAAUUACUAAGUACUUCAGUGUUGUUUGUUUCAGUGGUUGUGAGGGUUUCUUGUUUCCUUUAGAUCUUUACCUUAGGCCAAACUCAGUUUAGGAAAAAAAAAAUUGUUUGAACUAUUCAGUGUUGUAAUAGCACAUUUCUGUUGAGUUAAUAGUGGUCUUCCCACCAACCCCUAAAACCAGGUUGAUUUGCUCAAUCUCAGUUUGUAUAACCCCAGUAAGCGCAUGGAGGUGAGUUUCUACUUCGACUUGUGGCGACACCGUGCCAGUUUCCAGAGAUGUGUGUACUACUUGCAAGAGGCAAGUCUGCUGAAGAACCCCUUCUUUUAACAGUGGAAAAUCAAGAACAGAAAAUCUGUUCACACACCUGUGUCUUAUUCUUUAUAUAUGUUACAUGGUAGAGGAGCAGCGACCAAUAAAGUAUCCCUCAUUUUAAACCAAGUUGUCAGAUUUCUCUGCUGAUAGAACUCUGCAUAGUAUCUUCUAGCCCUAAAAAUGACCAGGUUGGGCAUGAGUUAACAGGAUAUUGUGGCAAAAGGAAUUUUCUGCUUAGAAAAGUAAAUGUAGAUAAACCUAAACUCCACCCUGUACUGAGCCUUAGGCUAGGGACUCGUGUAAAGAUGACUUUUCUCCCCAGAUAUCUUGUCGUUGACAGGCCUUCCUAGUCUGGUAGUCCUGCAUUUGGGUGUUCUCCUGAGAGUGAGAAAAAACCCAAGGUCAUGACAAGAUUCCUGGCAGGUGACAGACUUCAUUAUGAUUCUGACUCUAGACUGACCCCAUCAAGAUAGUCGUUUCCAUCAGUGAACAGAUGCUGAAGGCCUUGCAAUUACAAAGGAGACAACUGAGUUCCCUGGGUCAUAAGGAGUCCAGAAAUUAGUGUGAGAAGGUCCUUCUGGAAGUGAACUCAAAAUUCAUGUCCAGCUGUCAUCGUUAAACCCUUAGGCAGGUCAGUAUAACCCAUUCUAACCUCUUGGAGAAGGGAGUGUGAUCAAUGUGAAUCACAAUAGUAUUGCUCAUCUGAGACAUUCCUCUUAUAUCCAAGCAGCUAUCUCCCAUGAGUGAACAUCCCAGUGGUUUCAGAAAUCAUUUCCUGAACAGAUUCUAGCCAGCCCCCACACCACCCUGGCCAACUGCAACCGCUGCUGCUCUAGCAGUCUGGGUCAAUUCCUACAGGCUUGGGAGCCCACCCCAGGGAGGCUUUUAUCUCCUGCAGCCUCAUCCCCAGCACCCUCAAGGUAGACUAGUCCUCAGCCUGAAUCAUGAAUGAAACCUGAACAUCUGCCAACUUCAUUAUCUAGCCCAGUAUCUCUUCCCUCACAGAGAAGAAAAAAAUGAAUUACAAAGUUGAUCCAUUUGUUGGCUUUCUCUGGCCGGAGAAACCUCUCGGGUUGUUGCUGUGAGCUUUGAUGAAGUUGUGAUAACCAGGGCCAUUUGCACAUAGGUUUUUUUAAAAAACAUGAAAAGUUCCCUUCUCCUUUAUUUAGCAGUGUUUCUGGGCUGAAAGACGCCCUCCUCCCCCUCUGCGCUUACCCAGGACGUUAAUUAAUUGCAUUGUCAUUUAAAAUAUUAUGUUGUUAAUUACUCGUUUGUGUCUUCCCACCCGUGUCACAGCCUGGAGUUUUUAUUCAAUUAAAUCUCUGUCUCU